rfam:Ixodes scapularis strain Wikel colony gcontig_1108378589480, whole genome shotgun sequence.
UCCUAGUUAGUUCAGUAAAUAGGGCGCUUCACUGGAAAUGGAGAGGUUCCUGGUUCGAUACCAGGAACAGGCG